CAGGCCUACACAUGCAAGUCGAGCGGCAGCACAGAGGAACUUGUUCCUUGGGUGGCGAGCGGCGGACGGGUGAGUAAUGCCUAGGAAAUUGCCCUGAUGUGGGGGAUAACCAUUGGAAACGAUGGCUAAUACCGCAUGAUGCCUACGGGCCAAAGAGGGGGACCUUCGGGCCUCUCGCGUCAGGAUAUGCCUAGGUGGGAUUAGCUAGUUGGUGAGGUAAUGGCUCACCAAGGCGACGAUCCCUAGCUGGUCUGAGAGGAUGAUCAGCCACACUGGAACUGAGACACGGUCCAGACUCCUACGGGAGGCAGCAGUGGGGAAUAUUGCACAAUGGGCGCAAGCCUGAUGCAGCCAUGCCGCGUGUAUGAAGAAGGCCUUCGGGUUGUAAAGUACUUUCAGUCGUGAGGAAGGUGGUGUUGUUAA
rnacentral:rRNA from 1 species